UACAGAGGGUGCAAGCGUUGCUCGGAAUUAUUGGGCGUAAAGGGUAGGUAGGUGGUCUCGUUUGUCCUGGGUGAAAUCCCUGAGCUUAACUCAGGAAGUGCCCUGGAAACGGCGAGACUGGAGUACUGGAGAGGUUCGUGGAAUUCCCGGUGUAGCGGUGAAAUGCGUAGAGAUCGGGAGGAACACCAGAGGCGAAGGCGGCGAACUGGACAGUUACUGGCACUCAACUACGAAAGCGUGGGGAGCAAACAGGAUUAGAA
rnacentral:rRNA from 1 species